rnacentral:ncRNA from 1 species
CAGAGUAGAUGACUUGGCGUGAAGUGCUGUAGGGACGGGGAGUUGCCCUGCUGACGAAGGAUUUUUAUCUGCGGUCAGGUUGUCGCAUCCCGCUG